AAUUUUUCAUUGAUAUUAAAGGUAUAAUGGAGGAUUUUCCCGAAUUUUAGAAAAGAACCGCCCUCUCCACUUUUUGAAAAAAUGCACAUGCGCAACACUCUACCUGCUCCCGAGAGGGAACGCCUAUUAAACG